rnacentral:lncRNA from 1 species
AAAACGGUGAGAGAUUGAAAACGAGGAAACGUUCAGGUUGGAAAUCAGCCUGCAGGUUCACUGGAACAUGGAGGAAAGCCUGAAGAGAGCCUUACAUUCCGAUGACAAAGAGACGUUGAGGGCAAGGCUCGUUUUAUUACAAAGAAAGUACAACAGAACUGUUAAACGACUGAAGCAUGCAGAGCGAGCUGAGGUUGUGCGGAAACAUGUAAGGAGCAAGAUUGCAGCACGUAAUUCCCUGCAACAAGAGGAACAGACUACUUUCUUUUCUUCCAGUAAGUUUUUCCCUUCUCCGUUGUUGUAAAUGGGAAUUAGCUGUGUUGAUGAGGUGGAUGCAGUUAU